AUGCUUCCUUUGGCAGCACAUGUACAAAAAUUGGAACGAUAAAGAGAACACUAGCAUGGCCCCUACACAAGAAUAAUAUGCAAAUUCAUGAAGUGGUCCAUAUUUUU